GUGAUCACUUUAGCAGCACAUGUAGUAAAACUGGAAUAAUACAGAGAAGAUUAGCAUGGCCCCUGCACAAGGAUGACACACAAAUUCGUGAACCAUUUCAUAUUUUU